CCAGCACCCCGAGUGGUCGGGACGAUUAUUGGGCCUAAAGCAUCCGUAGCCGGUUUUACAAGUCCUCCGUUAAAUCCAACUGCUUAACAGAUGGGCCGCGGAGGAUACUAUAAGACUAGGAGGCAGGAGAGGCAAGCGGUACUCAGUGGGUAGGGGUAAAAUCCGUUGAUCCAUUGAAGACCACCAGUGGCGGAGGCGGCUUGCCAGAAUGCGCUCGACGGUGAGGGAUGAAAGCUGGGGGAGCAAACCGGAUUAGAUACCCGGGUAGUCCCAGCUGUAACCGAUGCAGACUCGGUGAUGGACUAGCUUUAUGCUAGUCCAGUGCCGCAGGGAAGCCGUUAAGUCUGCCGCCUGGGUAGUACGGUCGCAAGACUG
rnacentral:rRNA from 1 species